rnacentral:lncRNA from 1 species
UUUGUUUUCUCUUCUGUUUAGAUGAUAAAAAAUCGAAGAAACAUCAGAACAAUCAACAAAAUAAAAAGGGACGCUUUUCAAACAGUCAGAAUCGUCGUAACCACCAGAUGAAUAAAAAAGGCAAGAGACCGCAACAGAUGCAGCAAAUGCAACAACGCAAACAGAGAUGGUCUCCUGAGAGACGACAACAAGGCAGGAAACCUUUGCAGUUUAUGCAGAAAGGAAGAAUGGACGGUGGAAGGCGUCAGCUCAUGGAUGGUGGUGGCCAGUGGUGGGUUGUCUUUUCUAUUUUUUGG